GAAUAUUGGACAAUGGGGGAAACCCUGAUCCAGCCAUGCCGCGUGAGUGAUGAAGGCCUUAGGGUCGUAAAGCUCUUUCGCCUGGGAAGAUAAUGACGGUACCAGGUAAAGAAACCCCGGCUAACUCCGUGCCAGCAGCCGCGGUAAUACGGAGGGGGUUAGCGUUGUUCGGAAUUACUGGGCGUAAAGCGCACGUAGGCGGAUCAGUCAGUCAGGGGUGAAAUCCCGGGGCUCAACCCCGGAACUGCCUUUGAUACUGCUGGUCUGGAGGUCGAGAGAGGUGAGUGGAAUUCCGAGUGUAGAGGUGAAAUUCGUAGAUAUUCGGAGGAACACCAGUGGCGAAGGCGGCUCACUGGCUCGAUACUGACGCUGAGGUGCGAAAGCGUGGGGAGCAAACAGG
rnacentral:rRNA from 1 species